GACAGAGGAGCCAAGCGUUGUCCGGAUUGACUGGGCGUAAAGCGCACGUAGGCGGCUUGCUAAGUCAGGGGUGAAAUCCUGGAGCUCAACUCCAGAACUGCCUUUGAUACUGGCGAUCUUGAGUCCGGGAGAGGUGAGUGGAACUGCGAGUGUAGAGGUGAAAUUCGUAGAUAUUCGCAAGAACACCAGUGGCGAAGGCGGCUCACUGGCCCGGUACUGACGCUGAGGUGCGAAAGCGUGGGGAGCAAACAGG
rnacentral:rRNA from 1 species